CCUCAGCUCCCAGGGCCUUGGUUUUCUCGUCUGUACAAUGGACACAGUAGCAGCACCUCGCAGGUUUGUUGUGACUUUAAAGGGGCUUAGCAUUGUUCUCAGCGCUGAGGAAUUGCUCAAUAAAUGCUGGUGGUUACAGUUUCCUUGGGAACCCAGGGAGCCAGGGCAAGCUGCAGAGAGGAAAAAGUGAAUCAGAGGGAAAAUGUUCAUAUCAGAAACUGGAGAUCAAAACAAAACAAAACAAAGCCCUUUUUUGGGCACUCAGGAAGCCAAUCUGAGCUGCUCCUCCAUGGCCUUGUCCAGCUUUGACAAAUGUUUUUCCUGUUCCCAGAGCAGACUCUGAUCCUCUUCAAGAUGGGAGACUCUCAGGGAAAUCUUCAGAGGUUUGUUAUGACGGAAGCAGGAAGGUGAUGGAUAUGUUUUGGGGCAUUUUGAAACACAAAGGUGAAUGUAAUUUGGGAGGAGAGCUGUAUUUUCAUCCAGAGCUAUUAAAAUGCACCAGAGUGCCCUCUCCCUAAACCCCUGCCAGCCUUGAUAUUUUCCUAGAUCUCCACUCUAGAACUUCUGUGAGUGACACAGGCAGCCAUGACCGAGCUCACCGGAGUGGCGCAGCCAGUUUGCAGAUGAAGUUUUCCCAAGUGGGUAAGUCGUCCCAAACUUUCACUGAUGGAGCUACCUGCAGGGCUGGCUGGUGGCCUGACCUACUUCGUGUUCACACAGGCCCAGAGCUGCCUGCAAACAUGGCCAGCGACAAGGACGUGGAGUGAGUCACUUCCCUUUGCCGUGAUGUGCCCACAGCUGCUCAACUGCACGAUCGGGCAGGUCCUGCUUAACCGGGUGAGGUCAAGUUCGAAGAGCUGAGUCUUGCAAUCUGGGAAACCAAGCCAUGAACCUGGUUCUGUCACCAGCUGAAGUCAAGUUGCUCAAGACUCCAUCCUUCUCUAGAGAGCCUAUCGGGAGCUUAUUUGGAGUGAAUACCAUUCGGAAAAAAAUUCAGCUAAGAAAAACAGGAAUCAAGACAUCAGUACAGGUUGCUGACAGGACCUUUGAUCUGGCCAGAAAUAAAUAUAAAGGAAGCAGCCACGAGCUCUCUUGCUGAGUUGCCAUCCAAACCAGCGGAGAUCAAUUUCGGUCUCAGGUGGCCCCCAGGACCGGGGAGCAGUGGGUGUGAGUUCCACUUUGCAAGGGGAGGCUGAGGCUCCCUGGAGAUUGUCCAGUGCUUCCUGCCUCCCGAGGCAGGGGAUGUGGGGAGAAAAGAAGACUCCAAAGAGCUCAGCACUGGCAGUGGGCUGGGUUCCGGAGAAGAGUCUGACCUGAUCCAGACGUGACAGUGAACUGCAGCAUUUGGGAAACGACAGUGAUGACAGCAGGUCCUUUCUCAUGCCUCCCACACAGUGGGCAAAAUACUCACACACAUAACCUUACUUGACCAUUACGGGGGCCCUAGGAAGCACGGAGGACCAUUAUUUUCACUUCAGAGGAGAAAACCGAGGUUUGGGGUAUAUUCAUGAGUUUCCCAGGGUCACCGUAGCUAAGGUGCCUCAGAGGAGAAUCCAGGCUCUGUGACUCCGACACUUAGCCAUUUAACCACUCUUCUCUUCUUAGCUAAUGACCGCAGCCCAGACGUUUGAGUUUCUCAAUGGAAAUGUUAUAGUUUCCCGCCUUGGUCCUUGAGCUGCAGUAUUAUAAAAACAGCAUCAUGAAGCAUGGUAUUUAUUGAAUGCUUGCUGUGUACACAGCCUGUGGGGGACUUUGACGGUCCAGAGGUGGGUGUGCACAGGAGGGCUCGGGAAGGAGUAGGGGAAGAGGUGUGGUUAUUAGGUGAUGUGGCCCUGUGUCUGGCUUGGGUGGCAGGAUGAAUGGCAGGACCACUCACCAGAUCAGCACACGGAAGGAAAAGGAUCAGCGGGGAGAAGGGGACAGGGACACUGAUCACUCACUCAGCACCAGCCCCUUACUCCCUACAAAUAGACUUUGUUCAUGCUUUGGCUGGUGGUGUAGUGGUGGCGUGUGAACCAUUUCUAAUCCAUGAGUAUUAGAUAGGGGCUGGAAUGACUCCAGAAAUGUUGCUUCUUGAUUGAUCCAAGUGAUCCCAGAGAAGGGGUUGCCUGCUGUCCUGUGCUUUCUGCCUUUGCCUGGGGUCGUGGUGUCUGGAGCCGGGACCGCCAUCUUGG
rnacentral:lncRNA from 1 species